AAGUCGUAACAAGGUUUCCGUAGGUGAACCUGCGGAAGGAUCAUUAACGAUUUCGUAGCUGGGUUUCGGCCCUGUCUGCACCCUUGUCUUUUGCGUACCCAUUGUUUCCUCGGCGGGCUUGCCUGCCGAUAGGACAUUGUAAAACCACUUGUAAUUGCAAUCAGCGUCAGUAAAACAAAUAAUAUUAAAACUUUCAACAACGGAUCUCUUGGUUCUG
rnacentral:misc_RNA from 1 species